UACGUAGGGACCAAGCGUUGUUCGGAUUUACUGGGCGUAAAGGGCGCGUAGGCGGCGUGUUAAGUCACUUGUGAAAUCUCUAAGCUUAACUUAGAACGGUCAUGUGAUACUGAUGUGCUAGAGUGCAGAAGGGGCAACCGGAAUUCUUGGUGUAGCGGUGAAAUGCGUAGAUAUCAAGAGGAACACCUGAGGUGAAGACGGGUUGCUGGGCUGACACUGACGCUGAGGCGCGAAAGCCAGGGGAGCGAACGGG
rnacentral:rRNA from 1 species